rnacentral:tRNA from 1 species
CGGCCCGUAGUCUAGCGGUAUGAUGCCCGCCUCACGCGCGGGUGGUCCCGGGUUCAAAUCCCGGCGGGCCCA